UGGGCCAAAGAUCGAGUUCAUGGGCCAACGGGCCCAAUUCGGUAAGUAUGCGCGGUAAUCCCCAACCAUAGUGGGCUUGGAGUUGUGAGAGAAUUCGGAGUGGCCACCCAUUCUGAAAGUUUGAUUUUCUUCUGGUGAACUGGACAUCCUUUUAUUUACGUUUGAAGUUUUGGGUUUUUAAAUGUAAUAAGGCCGCUUAAUUAUUUUUGAUGGUUUUAAUAUGUAUUACUAAGAUAGGUAUUACUUA